GCGCCUGUAGCUCAGUGGAUAGAGCGUCUGACUCCGGAUCAGAAGGCCGCAGGUUCGACUCCUGUCAGGCGCACCA
rnacentral:tRNA from 1 species